rnacentral:snRNA from 8 species
CUACUCUGGUUUCUCUUCAUUACGCACAACCCUUUCCCCUUUUUACUAAAGACUUCCGUGGAGAGGAACACUUA